rnacentral:rRNA from 1 species
UACGGAGGGUGCAAGCGUUAUCCGGAUUUACUGGGUUUAAAGGGUGCGUAGGCGGCUCGGUAAGUCGGGUGUGAAAUCUCGGAGCUUAACUCCGAAACUGCAUUCGAUACUGCCGUGCUUGAGGACUGGAGAGGAGACUGGAAUUUACGGUGUAGCGGUGAAAUGCGUAGAUAUCGUAAGGAAGACCAGUGGCGAAGGCGGGUCUCUGGACAGUUCCUGACGCUGAGGCACGAAGGUCAGGGGAGCAAACGGG